UUAGAUACCCNUGUAGUCCGCACCGUAAACGAUGAAUACUCGUGUCCGCGAUUAUAUGUGGGACACUUAGCGAAAGCGUUAAGUAUUCCACCUGGGGAGUACGCGGGCAACGGUGAAACUCAAAGGAAUUGACGGGGGCCCGCACAAGCGGAGGAACAUGUGGUUUAAUUCGAUGAUACGCGAGGAACCUUACCCGGGCUUGAAAUGUGCAGGACUCAGGCAGAGACGCCUGUUUCUUCGGACCUGCAUGUAGGUGCUGCAUGGUUGUCGUCAGCUCGUGCCGUGAGGUGUCGGCUUAAGUGCCAUAACGAGCGCAACCCUUCUCCCCGUUUGCCAUCAGUUAAUGCUGGGCACUCCGGGGACACUGCCAUCGUAAGAUGUGAGGAAGGUGGGGAUGACGUCAAAUCAGCACGGCCCUUACGUCCGGGGCUACACACGUGUUACAAUGGGGGGUACAGAGGGCCGCUAUCCCGCGAGGGUGCGCCAAUCCUCAAAACCUCUCUCAGUUCGGACUGGAGUCUGCAACCCGACUCCACGAAGCUGGAUUCGCUAGUAAUCGCGCAUCAGCCAUGGCGCGGUGAAUACGUUCCCGGGCCUUGUACACACCGCCCGUCAAGCCAUGAAAGCCGGGGGUGCCUGAAGGCCGUAGCCGCGAGGGUCGGCCUAAGGCAAUACCGGUGAUUGGGGCUAAGUCGUAACAAGG
rnacentral:rRNA from 1 species